rfam:Schistosoma mattheei strain Denwood, Zambia genome assembly, scaffold: SMTD_scaffold0010292
AUCUAACUGAUGAGUCUGAACCAGGACGAAAUGUACGUUCUGCAU